GUCCAGCUAUUAUGUUACAAUCUAAAGAAAUGUCGUUUUAACGCUAUUUUCUGAAAAGUGUCCACGACAUAGUCGUUAAUUAUUUCCAUUACACUGCUCUUAGCAUAUAUUUAUUUAUAUUUUCAGAAUGUGCAUUUGCUGCACUUUUUUGUUCGAAAAAAAAAGAAAUAUGUUGAACGUGAAUGUUUAAAGUUAUGUGAUAAACUAAGUGUCCAGUGUCUUUGUUACACUUACGUUUUCUGGGAGGAAAU
rnacentral:lncRNA from 1 species